GUUAAUGUGGCAUAGUGGUUUGAGUGUUGGACUAUGACUCUAGAGACCAGGAUUCAAAUCCCUGCUCAGCCA
rnacentral:tRNA from 1 species